CAGAGCUUGCUCUGUGGAUCAGUGGCGAACGGGUGAGUAACACGUGAGCAAUCUGCCCCUGACUCUGGGAUAAGCGCUGGAAACGGCGUCUAAUACUGGAUAUGAACCGUGGAGGCAUCUUCAACGGUUGGAAAGAUUUUUUGGUCAGGGAUGAGCUCGCGGCCUAUCAGCUUGUUGGUGAGGUAAUGGCUCACCAAGGCGUCGACGGGUAGCCGGCCUGAGAGGGUGACCGGCCACACUGGGACUGAGACACGGCCCAGACUCCUACGGGAGGCAGCAGUGGGGAAUAUUGCACAAUGGGCGAAAGCCUGAUGCAGCAACGCCGCGUGAGGGAUGACGGCCUUCGGGUUGUAAACCUCUUUUAGCAGGGAAGAAGCGAAAGUGACGGUACCUGCAGAAAAAGCGCCGGCUAACUACGUGCCAGCAGCCGCGGUAAUACGUAGGGCGCAAGCGUUAUCCGGAAUUAUUGGGCGUAAAGAGCUCGUAGGCGGUUUGUCGCGUCUGCUGUGAAAUCCCGAGGCUCAACCUCGGGUCUGCAGUGGGUACGGGCAGACUAGAGUGCGGUAGGGGAGAUUGGAAUUCCUGGUGUAGCGGUGGAAUGCGCAGAUAUCAGGAGGAACACCGAUGGCGAAGGCAGAUCUCUGGGCCGUAACUGACGCUGAGGAGCGAAAGGGUGGGGAGCAAACAGGCUUAGAUACCCUGGUAGUCCACCCCGUAAACGUUGGGAACUAGUUGUGGGGUCCAUUCCA
rnacentral:rRNA from 1 species